rnacentral:rRNA from 1 species
UACAGAGGGUGCAAGCGUUGUUCGGAAUUACUGGGCGUAAAGGGCGCGUAGGCGGUGUGUCAAGUCAGGCGUGAAAGCCCCGGGCUCAACCUGGGAACCGCGCUUGAGACUGGCACGCUCGAGUUCGGGAGAGGAUGGUGGAAUUCCCAGUGUAGAGGUGAAAUUCGUAGAUAUUGGGAAGAACACCGAUGGCGAAGGCAGCCAUCUGGACCGACACUGACGCUGAGGCGCGAAAGCUAGGGGAGCGAACGGG